rnacentral:rRNA from 1 species
GCUUGUCUCAAAGAUUAAGCCAUGCAUGUUCAAGUAUAGCAAGUGUACAGUGAAACUGCGAAUGGCUCAUUAAAUCAGUUAUAAUUUAUUUGAUAGUGAAAUUGUACAUGGAUAACCGUGGUAAUUCUAGAGCUAAUACAUGCUGUUAAGCCUGACUUCUCGGAAGGGCUGUAUUUAUUAGAUAACAAAUCAAUAUUCCCCGUGUCUAUUGUGAUGACUCAUAGUAACUGAUCGAAUCGCAUGGUCCUUGACCGCGAUACAUCAUUCAAGUUUCUGCCCCAUCAGCUUUCGAUGGUAGUGUAUUGGACUACCAUGGCUUUAACGGGUAACGGAGGAUUAGGGUUCGAUUCCGGAGAGGGAGCCUGAGAAACGGCUACCACAUCUAAGGAAGGCAGCAGG